rnacentral:rRNA from 1 species
CCCUGCGGUUCUUGCCUGGUUUCUCACUGAAGAUAAGCAGCAUUGUGCCUGGUCAGUACCUGGAUAGGAGACCUCCUGGGGAAAACUAAUUGUGCUGCUGGAA